rnacentral:rRNA from 1 species
ACUCCUACGGAGGCAGCAGUGGGGAAUUUUGGACAAUGGGCGCAAGCCUGAUCCAGCCAUUCCGCGUGCAGGAUGAAGGCCUUCGGGUUGUAAACUGCUUUUGUACGGAACGAAAAGGCUCUGGUUAAUACCUGGGGCUCAUGACGGUACCGUAAGAAUAAGCACCGGCUAACUACGUGCCAGCAGCCGCGGUAAUAC